rnacentral:rRNA from 1 species
ACGUAGGGACCAAGCGUUGUUCGGAUUUACUGGGCGUAAAGGGCGCGUAAGUGGCAAUUCAAGUCAGCUGUGAAAUCUCCGAGCUUAACUCGGAACGGUCAGCUGAUACUGCUUUGCUAGAGUACAGAAAGGGCAACCGGAAUUCUUGGUGUAGCGGUGAAAUGCGUAGAUAUCAAGAGGAACACCUGAGGCGAAGGCGGGUUGCUAGGCUGAUACUGACACUGAGGCGCGAAAGCUAGGGUAGCAAACGGGA